GAUGAAGAACGUAGUGAACUGCGAUAAGUAAUGUGAAUUGCAGAAUUCAGUGAAUCAUCGAGUCUUUGAACGCUCAUUGCGCCCCCUGGCAUUCCGGGGGGCAUGCCUGUCCGAGCGUCAUUGCUGCCCUUCAAGCCCGGCUUGUGUGUUGGGUCGUCGUCCCCCCCGGGGGACGGGCCCGAAAGGCAGCGGCGGCACCGCGUCCGGUCCUCGAGCGUAUGGGGCUUUGUCACCCGCUCGAUUAGGGCCGGCCGGGCGCCAGCCGGCGUCUCCAACCUUCUAUUUUACCAGGUUGACCUCGGAUCAGGUAGGGAUACCCGCUGAACUUAAGCAUAUCAAUAAGCGGAGGA
rnacentral:misc_RNA from 1 species